GAUUUUUGUUGAGGAAAUGCGUGAUUUUUUGGAUACAUGGGGGAUUCCUGUAGCAAAACUGUUUGAUUUUGGGGUCCAAUGGGGGAUUUUUUGAAGAGCAAAAGUGUGAUUUUCGAGUUAAAUGGGGGAUUUUCCAAGAGAAAAUGUGUGAUUUGUGGGAUGAUGGGGUAUUUUUGAAGAGAUAAAGCAUGAUUUGGGGGUAAAUGCGUACUUUCCGAGAGAAAAGGCGAGAUUUUGGGGUUAAAAGGGGGAUUGUUGACGGGAAAAUGCAUGAUUUUGGGGUUUAGGGGGGGAUUCUAGAAGAGAAAAAAAGUGAUUUUCGGGUUUAAGCUGCUAUUUUUGUAGAGAAUAUGCAUGAUUUUAAGUUUAAAUCAGGGAUUCUUGAAGAGAAAAUGUGUGAUUUUUGUUUAAAUGGGGUAUUUUGGAAGGGAAAAUGCGUGAUUUUCGGGUUAAAUGGGGGAUUCUGGAAGAGAAAAUGCACGAUUUUCGUUUACAGGUGAGAUUUUUGUAGAGGAAAUGCGUGAUUUUUUGGAUACAUGGGGGAUUCCUGUAGCAAAACUGUUUGAUUUUGGGGUCCAAUGGGGGAUUUUUGAAGAGCAAAAGUGUGAUUUUCGAGUUAAAUGGGGGAUUUUCCAAGAGAAAAUGCGUGAUGUUGGGGAUGAUGGGGUAUUUUUGAAGAGAUAAAGCAUGAUUUUGGGGUAAAUGCGUACUUUCCGAGAGAAA
ensembl:lncRNA